UCAGCAGGGCUGAGCAGAGCCGCCGCGGGCUCUGAUACAUGCCGGGCAGCACCGCCGCGGCCGCUUCGCGCGUGGGAGGAGGAGCGGAGGCUCGGGGAGGCCUAGGCGGGCGGACGCCGGCAGGAGCCUUCCCAACGAGAGGCCGGAGCAGAUAACGCAGCGUGGCUUGACCCGCCGCGGGCUGCCGAAUGCUGGAGCGCGACCGGCGAGAGCCGCCGCUGAGGAGGCGGGCGCUACCAAGUUCCAGCGCGGGCAAGGGGGGAUCCGCGGUGUGGCCCGGCUCAAGCGGAGGAAGAUGCCGGCCCCCGGCGAGAUCACUUCACAAGGAAGGUGGUACUUAAACUGUUUUCUCAGGUGGAGUCUGUGGGAGGGCCGAAGUAACAAAUUUCCCUUCGAGCGGGUUUAAAUAAAUCGGCGCCCGCCUCCGCUGGCUCGAAUGGAAGCGCCCACAGGCUGGGAAUCCCGAGACAGUCCCCGGGCCGUGGCCAGGGACACGUGUGUGUCCGGAGGAAGCCCGCUUCCCGAGUGCAGGCGGGUCUGUGAAACCGCACCCUUGGGUGGGUGGGGGCGUUGUCUUGGACGAAAUUAAGCACGGUAAGGCCCUGACCAGGAGAGGGUCACCGUGACUACAACCACCUCCCUUUCCUCAACGAGGUUAUGCAAUGGAGGAAGAAGCUGACAAGAGAAAUGAGACCAUAAAGCUCUACGAGGUUGGACAAUCGUAACUGGACUUUCUUCAUCUAGAACAAAGGCUGAGCAGAGAAGCUGAGAAUCUUGUGGAGGACCAGCAGCCAUCCUUCUAGCUUCAGGAAAAAUCCGACAGUGAGGCUGGCAGAGAAGAGCCCCUCUGGACUUCUUUUUAUGUCAUCAAGAGGUGAGCAGCUUUGCUCUACCACAUGGUUGUCCCCACCAUGAUAUUCUACCUCACCCUAGGUCGAGAAGCAAUGGAGCCAGCCAGCCAUGCACUGAACCCUCCACAACUGUGAGCCAAGAUAAACCCUCCUCCUACUCCGUGCAGAUGGCGGGAUUGUUCACAUAGCAGGACAGAUUUGCCAUCAAAGGGACAAGAAAUCUUGGCAGGAGGCACGUGAGUGCCAGUGGCGAGUCUCUCGUUGAUCCUGGCAUCUGUCCAGCAGAUCCUUCCUUUUCAGUGAAUGAGGAAGAAAGACCGCUUAUUCUGCUCUGCCAAGGCUAAUCAGACUCAAGUUUUCCCAGCACUGGAACUUGCCAGCUUUCAGCUGCAGAGAGAAAGCAGAUACAUUUUAGGAAAGAACAACAAAUGCACAUUCCCUUCAACCUUGAACCCCGCACAACUUCACAAUCUACAUAAUCAUUUGCAAAGGAGACCGCUUCGCAGAGGGGCCCUGGAUUUGAGCGCUCAGGAGGCAAAGUGAUCCUGGGGGUGCUUACCAAAGAACUGCUUUCUUUGCCUAGUUGUUGGCAUUAACCAAGAUUUUCUUUUCUUUUUUUUUUUCUGGUUUUCAGAAUCGAACUCAGGACCUUGCGCUUGCCAGGCAGGUGUGGCAUCACUGAGCUACAUUCCAGGCCCUUCUUUUUUAUUAAAAAUAAAUUAAUGAAGUAAGUUUCCAUAUAUAUGUAGUGUAUCCCGACAUAUCUGUACCUAUAUGUAUAUUGACAUAUACAUCUAUUUUUUCUUUUCCUAUUGAGUUUUCUAAAAAAUUAUGGUGAAGUAAACUUAGUAUAAAAUUUACCAUUUUAACACAUUUUAAGUGUAUAGUUCAGUGCUGUUAAGUGUUUUCACAUUGUCAUGUAAUCAUUAUCACCCAUCCAUCCUCAAAUAAUUUUAUGGUUUUACAUCAAGGAAAUAAUAAUUUUCAAGCUGGGCAUGGUGGCACAUGCCUAUAGUCGCAGCACCUGGGAGGAUGAGGCAGGAGGAUCACUGUGAGUUCAAGGCCUCCCUGAACUACAUAGCGAGACCCUGUCUCAAAACACAAAAUAAAAUGAAAAGAAUAGUUUUCAGGAGAGAUUAGGAAACAUACUCAUACUGUAACAGCAAACAGGAAACACUGAAAGGCACCCAGGACUUGGAGGCAGAAAGCAAACUUUAUUAUAUCAAUGGGCCUGCUCGGGGUAGUUCCUCAAAGAACCAGGCAACUGUCUUUAGUCCUUCUGCAGUUCAUGUAGGGUUUGCAAGCGGGAACUAAGUACAGAAGCAGAGCAAGGAGUUGAUUGGUUACAUAUGAUAGUAUUACUGAUUGGUCUAUAUCAAGUUCAAACUCAGGUUAGAAAACGUUAGUUCAGGGUAAGGUUGGCUAGAUAAGUGAGACACAUAUUUGGAAUAUACAUCAGUUCAGGGCAGGGUCUGCCAAAGAGGAAUAGAUAAGGGAGACCUAUACUUGGAGUGGGCAUCAGUUCAGGGCAGGGUCUGCCAAGGAGGAAUUUGCUUGGGCUGAAAAAACUGCUCACGGCCAACAUUAUCCUGGACUGUCCCACCUGUCUGUCGGCCAUUUUAUUUUUCUGUCUCAAUAAUACCAUGUUACUUGGGAAAGCUAUUAAAGACUAAUCUUAAUUUCUAGGUACCUAAA